GCACCUAAUUUUUCCUUCCACUGGUUCAGCAAAGCCUAGACUCUUUUCGAGAUGCUUGGAACUUUCACGGUCUGAGAACUGAAAGGAAUCAGUCACCACAGCAACUCUGGAGACGUUACAGAGAGCAAGGCCCUGAGGAGGAUCCUACUGAGAUUCCUGAAGAGUAUGGGAUCGACUGGAACGGACCUCACAGCCUUCAUGGAGGCACUGUGUCAGUCCCCGAGGUUCAGCUGGCCCGUGAGCUCUCAGAUGAAGAGGUUGCAAUUUUGCCAGCUCCAGGAGUUUCUGUUACUGAUGCGCUUAGACUAUAUGUAGAGACUGUGGAAGUGUUAUCAAGAAUCUUAGACUGAUGUCCGACACGUUUUUAUUUUUUGUGUUAGAACAAGCAGUCAAAAACUGAAAGUUUGCUUUCCUUUAAAAAAAAAAUAUAUAUAUAUAUGCCGAAUAAAAAUAAAAUAAAAAGUCAA